rnacentral:rRNA from 1 species
UACGUAGGGUGCGAGCGUUAAUCGGAAUUACUGGGCGGAAAGCGUGCGCAGGCGGCGCGUUAAGACAGGUGUGAAAGCCCCGAGCUUAACUUGGGAAUUGCGCUUGUGACUGGCGUGCUGGAGUGUGGCAGAGGGAGGUGGAAUUCCACGUGUAGCAGUGAAAUGCGUAGAGAUGUGGAGGAACACCGAUGGCGAAGGCAGCCUCCUGGGCCAGCACUGACGCUCAUGCACGAAAGCGUGGGGAGCAAACAGG